GGAAACGCUCAAUUUUUCUCACGUUAUGCUCAAGGGAACAGUGCCUUCACUCCUUCUAUAUAAACCCUAGCAAAGGAUAUCUUUCAUCUAUGUAGAAAACUUAAGCAAGAAUUAACAAUGGCAGAUCAAGAACAGCCAAAGUGGGAAGGAAAGACUUCUGCACAGCUAGCAGGCCUCAAGGCAGAACAAGUGUGGCCUCUUUUAGAAGACUUCUUUGGCCUAAACAAGUGGUUCCCAACUCUCACCACUUGCCUUCCUGUGGAGGGCAUCUCUGGCCAACCUGGGUGCUUGCGUUACUGUGCUGGUUUUAAAACACCGGUUGAUAACAUUAAUGGCGAGGUCAUGAACUGGACCAAGCAGAAACUAUUGUCCAUUGACCCAAGAGAAAUGGUGUUUAGCUAUUCCAUUAUAGAUGGGAAUGUUGGGUUCCACGGAUAUGUGUCGACUGUUAAAGUGAUAGCAAAAGAAGAUGGCUGCGAGAUUGAGUGGAAAUAUGAAGUUGAGCCUGUACAAGGCUGGACACUGGAGCACUUGGAUUCUUUUAUCGGCUCAGGUUUACAAGUUAUGGCCAAGAGAAUGGCGGAAGCUCUCCAAGCUUGAGUCCAUUGUCCACACGUAUCUGUUCUUAUAUUUACAGUGAAUGUUUGUGCUUUCAGUUCAUAAUACCACCUGAAAGUACUGUACAUCAAUUGAAAUAAACCCAAUUAUGCUUUUCAUUUUGUUGUCAAUUGGUGCUUUUCUCUAUAUCUAGAUGCUGUCCAAUCACGGAUUGUCUAAUGCUUUUUUGUGAGUCCAUAAACCUGUAAUUUAACCCUAAAAGAUUUCCCACAAUCUUUGAUUAAAGAAUAUGUAAGGGGAGAUCAUUUAAUCAGAUAUUUAGUAUUACUCCCUUUUAUGAACAGAUACUAAAAGAUUUGGCAAAGUAAUAAAAAGCUUUCUAAUGAUAAAACUAAUAAAUUAUAUGGAGAGACAGAGAGAUUCUCAAUUCUGUUCCUGAAAUAUGACUUUCAUAUGAAGAAAUAAAUUGAACGGGAGAUUCAACUCCCUGUAACUGUGGAAAAAGCUGUAUAUGUUCCUGCUUCUGAGUCCUGAUUUUGUUUUUCUUAAGCAUGGCUGUUCAAGUAGAAAAAAAGAUGGGAAGGCACAGUUAGUGCCAAACUACAUGAUUGUGAUUUUGAUCAAAUGAUUGCAAGGUUGAGCAAAGUUCCAACCAAAUUUCAGGAGUUAACCCAUUCAACAAGGAAGACCGAAACAUCAAAAGUAAUAAACCAAACAUGAACUGCUCUUGGACACUGAAAAAAAGAGAUGAGCAAUUCUCUCAAGUUCACCACAGAAGUUGUACCAUUGGCGCCUGCUAUGCGUCCUGUAGGAUCAUUUCCUCCAUUGAGCAAAGGAAGAGAGCCGAGGGAACGCCGUCCAUCAAUGACCAUACAACAACCUCAGUAUCCUGUGCACUUAUGUCAUAAAAUCUCCAAUACGCAUUUGCGAAAGUGAAAACCUAAAACAUUAACAAUUUGAAAUGAUUUACUGUAUGAGGAUUUUUUUUUUCAAACAGAAGCAUCCUCGUAUACAAGACUUAUGCAGAGAAUGGAAAUCAGAAAGAAAUGAGAUUACCAAGAGAGAGGAAGGCUGAGGGGAACGGAGGGAGAAGUGUCUUUAUUUUGCAGUUUGGCUCUCUAACUUGUGGUUCACUUGCAGACUGCAAGAGGUUUUGUGAUUUAGGAGGGAAGAGGGAGGGAAAAGAAGGCCAUGGUUGUAGAUGGACUGUUGUUAAAGAAGAGCUAGUUGUUGUUGUUUAAGCCUUUGGUGCUGCA
rnacentral:misc_RNA from 1 species